GACGAACGCUGGCGGCGUGCCUAAUACAUGCAAGUAGAACGAGUUGCGAACGGGUGAGUAACGCGUGGUAACCUGCCUCAUAGCGGGGGAUAACUUUUGGACACGGUAGCUAAUACCGCAUACCAUCAGAUGUGCCCAGAUGGGAUUAGCUUGUUGGUGGGGUAACGACUCACAAGGGCGACGAUCCCUAGCUGGUCUGAGAGGAUGAUCAGCCAAACUGGACAGAAGAAACGGGCCAGAAUCCUAAGGGAGGCAGCAGUGGGAAAUAUUGCACAAUGGGCGCAAGCCUGAUGCAGCCAUGCCGCGUGUAUGAAGAAGGCCUUCGGGUUGUAAAGUACUUUCAGCGGGGAGGCGUUACCCGCAGAAGAAGCACCGGCUAACUCCGUGCCAGCAGCCGCGGUAAUUC
rnacentral:rRNA from 1 species